AUUGAACGCUGGCGGCAGGCCUAACACAUGCCAGUCGAGCGGAUGAAGGGAGCUUGCUCCUGGAUUCAGCGGCGGACGGGUGAGUAAUGCCUAGGAAUCUGCCUGGUAGUGGGGGAUAACGUCCGGAAACGGGCGCUAAUACCGCAUACGUCCUGAGGGAGAAAGUGGGGGAUCUUCGGACCUCACGCUAUCAGAUGAGCCUAGGUCGGAUUAGCUAGUUGGUGGGGUAAAGGCCUACCAAGGCGACGAUCCGUAACUGGUCUGAGAGGAUGAUCAGUCACACUGGAACUGAGACACGGUCCAGACUCCUACGGGAGGCAGCAGUGGGGAAUAUUGGACAAUGGGCGAAAGCCUGAUCCAGCCAUGCCGCGUGUGUGAAGAAGGUCUUCGGAUUGUAAAGCACUUUAAGUUGGGAGGAAGGGCAGUAAGUUAAUACCUUGCUGUUUCGACGUUACCAACAGAAUAAGCACCGGCUAACUUCGUG
rnacentral:rRNA from 1 species